UAGCGUAGGGGGCAAGCGUUGUCCGGAAUCAUUGGCGUAAAGCGCGUGUAGGCGGCUUGGUAAGUCUGCUCUGAAAGCCCGGGGCUCAACCCCGGGAAGGCGGGGUGGAUACUGGUCAAGCUUCGAGUCCGGAAGAGGAGUGUGGAAUUCCUGGUGUAGCGGGUGAAAUGCGCAGAUAUCAGGAGGAACACCAAUGGCGAAGGCAGCACUCUGGGACGUGGACGUGACGCUGAGACGCAAAGCGUGGGGAGCAAACAGG
rnacentral:rRNA from 1 species